UGAGAAGGCACAGAGUUUGCCAGGUUGUCUA
rnacentral:piRNA from 1 species